GUGUUAGGCGCCUUGAGGUUGUCAAUGAAUGAAGCCAGGCAUGUGUAUUUAUAACACAAGGUGAUGCAAAUCAUGGAAAAUUCGUGUGCAUGUGGAAUGAGGGCCUCCAUGCAUGGGCCUGUACAGGCGCAUGUGAGGCCCAAGUGCAAUUGCAAAUGCAAGCUAAACAUCAGCCAAGUGAAUUUGGACGUGAAAAUUUGAUGGAAUUGGCUUGUGCACAAAUAUUUCACAUAGUUUCCAUAAAUGAACAUAAA
rnacentral:lncRNA from 1 species